UAGGAGAGUGCGGCGAUCGGACCGCUUUGUACCUGGACUUGGCGGCCCGGCCGGGAUUGUAUCUACAGUGUGCCUUGUGGAGCCCCAUUUUGUACCAGGAAAUUCUCCUGCAUCCUCAACUUCCCAACAGAAUGCGUCCUUUACUGCUGGACCUUACCUGAAUCCUAGCUGUCCUCUAGAGGCGUCUCUUCCCACACACUUCAGACCUGAGGGUGGUAAAAGCUAUGAGGACCGCCACAGAUGGACAAGGAAAUGGCUCAUGUUCAUUGCAGCAAGACUUGGAAGC